AGGUUCGUACGGGAGGCAGCAGUGAGGAAUAUUGGUCAAUGGGCGAGAGCCUGAACCAGCCACGUCGCGUGAGGGAAGACGGUCCUAUGGAUUGUAAACCUCUUUUGCCGGGGAGCAAAAAGCGGUACGUGUACCGCAUCGAGAGUACCCGGAGAAAAAGCAUCGGCUAACUCCGUGCCAGCAGCCGCGGUAAUACGGAGGAUGCGAGCGUUAUCCGGAUUUAUUGGGUUUAAAGGGUGCGCAGGCGGCGAGUUAAGUCAGCGUUAAAAUUUCGGGGCUCAACCCCGACGAGCCG
rnacentral:rRNA from 1 species